AGGGCCAUAUCACGUUGAAAUACAGGUUCUCGUACGAUCACCGAAGUUAAGAAACGUCGAGCCUGGUCAACACCGAGAUCGGUGACCUCUUGGGGGACACUGGGUGCUGUAAG